GGCGAACGCUGGCGGCGUGCUUAACACAUGCAAGUCGAACGGAAAGGCCCUGCUUUUGUGGGGUGCUCGAGUGGCGAACGGGUGAGUAACACGUGAGUAACCUGCCCUUGACUUUGGGAUAACUUCAGGAAACUGGGGCUAAUACCGGAUAGGAGCUCCUGCUGCAUGGUGGGGGUUGGAAAGUUUCGGCGGUUGGGGAUGGACUCGCGGCUUAUCAGCUUGUUGGUGGGGUAGUGGCUUACCAAGGCUUUGACGGGUAGCCGGCCUGAGAGGUUGACCGGCCAAAUUGGGACAGAGAUGCGGGCCCGACUCCUACGGGGGGCAAGAGGGGGGAAUAUUGCACAAUGGGCGGAAGCCUGAUGCAGCAACGCCGCGUGCGGGAUGACGGCCUUCGGGUUGUAAACCGCUUUCGCCUGUGACGAAGCGUGAGUGACGGUAAUGGGUAAAGAAGCACCGGCUAACUACGUG
rnacentral:rRNA from 1 species